GGAGUCGGCUCGACAUGGGCUGAGGAGGCGUCGUGGUAGGGGCCACUACUUGGGCUGUUUGGCUUAGCUAAAGCCAAGGGCAGCUUGUGCGGCCGAGGUCGCGGAUUAUAACGCUGGGGCGCAGUGUUAGGCGAGCCACAUGACUCAUGUCCUUUAGGCUCUUGGACCUUACUCGGGCCAGGCUGGUGACUGAAAGAAAUGAGGAGGUCGUGAGCCUCAUGGGUUGCUGGAAUGCUAGGCAUGCAAGCCUCCUGCCUGCUAGAAUGCUGGGU
rnacentral:lncRNA from 1 species